CCCUGACUAGAAAUUACAAAACCCUUGCCCCUUGUAUCGUUAAAACCCUUCUCUCUGUGUCUGUAUUUCUGAGGUGGGAACUGAGAACCCCACGCCAUGGCGGCCUUGGAGUUCAUACUAUCUCAAGCUCGCCGCCAUUGCUCGACAAAAUCCUCUUCUUAUCUCCGACUGCGACAUUAUUCAAAACCCAGAACCACCUCUCCUCCUCCUCGUCCUCCUCUUCCAUUUCUGGAAUUUAACAGAUCACUCUGUUCUGAAUCAGCACCAGCAGCAGAAGCAGAGAAGGAGGAGGCUCCUCGACCGAACGAACCCACAAGAAGACCCCCCAAACCCACAUCAUCAGCACCAAUACAAUCCGUUUCAUACCCUGUCAAACCCAAAUCGGAACAAGACCUGACAUCACAGCCUCCUCGACGCGAACGAGACUAUUCCGAUAAACCAAUAAUAAAUGCAGAAGAAGUUCGUGGGGCUGCUUGGACUCGGGAGGACAUUCGGUACGUGAAAAACAUACCCAAGCUAUCUCCUGUCUCCUACCCUUCUCGGCUGGUGGCCCCUCUACCAGAAGACCGACUGGCGGAGGAUGCUCCGGCUCCUUCAGAUGAAGGACAGGUGAAGGAGGAACGAAACAAGGAUGCGCAGUUGGAUAGAGAGACGGUGCGAAUUCAAGCCGAUAAUCGUAGGUUUAGGUGGGCUUUGAGGGGUGUUGAAGAGGAGAGGCUUCCUUUCCCCACACUUAUCAAGCAACAACAACAAAACAAGGACAAGGUUAUUUUUGAUCUCCAGGAGGCUAUUCGACUCGUCAAGGUUAAUGCCAAGGCUAAUUUCAAUGAAACUGUUGAAGUGCAUGUAAAUCUUGCUGCUGAACUACGUCGAACUGAUCUGAAGCUUGAUGGUAUUGCGACUUUGCCUCAUGGUACUGGAAAGGCUGCUAAGAUUGCUGUAUUUGCUGAUGGAUCUGCCGCAGAUGAAGCCAGAGCUGCAGGUGCUAAUGUUGUUGGCGGUGUUGAACUCGUUGAGGAAAUCAAGAAUGGCAAUGUUAAGGCUCAUUUUGAUAUAUGUAUUACAACUCAUCAAUUUGUUCCACGUCUUCAAAAGCUGGGGAACAUCCUUAAAAGUCGGAUGCCUAGUACUAAAGCUGGUACUGUGACUGAUGAUGUCGCUAAGGCAGUGAGAGAAGCAAAACGGCUUGUGAAGUUUAAUAAGAAAGACAAAGCUGCAGUAGUGCAUGUUGGGAUUGGGAAGGUGAGUUAUUCGGAGGAGGCGUUACGUGAAAACAUUGGUGCAUUUGUGAAUGCCCUUUUGGCGGCAAAGCCUGCAGGCUUAAAGAAGAGUUCCAAGUAUGCUGGGUAUGUGAACUCUGUCCAUAUAUGUAGCACGAACCGAGUCGUAGGUUUUUUGAAGGAAUGGAGGAACCUCUUUUAAAGUUGACAGAUGGGUCCGGGCUUCUCUGUUUCUAUACAAUCAUUAUCAAUAGCUGCAGAUCACUACAACAGAUUGCAACUAAAUUGAUGUCUAAUGAUUUCACAAUUUUGGCUUUGACGAGUUUAUCAUUCUCUACUUUUGUGCUAAAAAAAGUCUGGAGGCUAAGUCUGUACGGUUCGGCCACUCUCCCAAUGUAAUAAGAUUUAACACUCCACUAGGAUUGUGAUAGAUACUCUCCAUUUCUGGCAAGAAAUCAUCUCCUCUAUUUCAUCUCAAUUUCAAUGCAUAAGAUUGCAACAACAUAUAAACAAAACUCGAAAUUCACUGUUUAUAAAUUUAUUUGUCACGACAUUGUUAUGAGUUUUGAAACUUGCAGGAACUAUUUUGUGAUUAAAAUGUUGACUGGUUUAUAUAGCGCCGUCAGUCAUUGAUAAUACUAAAAUGAGGAUAUCUACCCAUUUCUACCCUUAGGGCUAUUUUGGGAAGUUGGCUUUUAGUUACUUUUUUUGAUUUGUAACAGAAGUUAAAAGUUAGUUUUUUUGCAUUUUUUUUCUCAUUUGGGAAGUUAGUUUUUAGCUACUGGUGAAAUUAUAAUUCUACUCUUUAUGGGUCAAAAUGUGCUACAUGAGUGAAGUUGUAAAUAUUUUAAAUUAAUGGGGGUAGUUUGGUCA